AGAGUUUGAUCCUGGCUCAGGAUGAACGCUAGCGGGAGGCUUAACACAUGCAAGUCGAGGGGCAGCACGAGGUAGCAAUACUUUGGUGGCGACCGGCGCACGGGUGAGUAACACGUAUGCAACCUACCCUGUACUGGGGGAUAGCCCGGAGAAAUUCGGAUUAAUACCCCAUGAUUAUAUAGAAAGGCAUCUUUUUAUAUUUAAAGUUUCGACGGUACGGGAUGGGCAUGCGCAACAUUAGCUAGUUGGCAGGGUAACGGCCUACCAAGGCUACGAUGUUUAGGGGACCUGAGAGGGUGAUCCCCCACACUGGUACUGAGACACGGACCAGACUCCUACGGGAGGCAGCAGUGAGGAAUAUUGGUCAAUGGGCGUAAGCCUGAACCAGCCAUCCCGCGUGCAGGAAGACGGCGCUAUGCGUUGUAAACUGCUUUUCCAGGGAAAGAAAACCCCCGACGCGUCGGGGCUUGCCGGUACCCUGGGAAUAAGCAUCGGCUAACUCCGUGCCAGCAGCCGCGGUAAUACGGAGGAUGCGAGCGUUAUCCGGAUUUAUUGGGUUUAAAGGGUGCGUAGGCGGAUCAAUAAGUCAGUGGUGAAAACCUUCAGCUUAACUGGAGACUUGCCAUUGAUACUGUUAGUCUUGAGUACGGUCAAGGUAGGCGGAAUGUGUAAUGUAGCGGUGAAAUGCUUAGAUAUUACACAGAACACCGAUUGCGACGCAGCUUACUGGGUCAUUACUGACGCUGAUGCACGAAAGCGUGGGAGCGACAGGAUUAGAUACCCUGUAGUCACGCGUAACGAUGAUCACUCGCUGUGGCGAUACACAGUCAGCG
rnacentral:rRNA from 1 species